UUGAAAACAUUUAAGAUCUACAAUCUUCCCAGUGUGCCAUGGCUGCAAACAGUAGCCUCCUCGGUAGUGUAUGCAGCCUGUUGAUUGUAUGGGUUGCCCUAAGGGACCUUGGAGACAGCC
ensembl:snoRNA SNORA70 Small nucleolar RNA SNORA70